AAAGUCGUAACAAGGUUUCCGUAGGUGAACCUGCGGAAGGAUCAUUAGCAAGAGAUUGCCUGUGGCCACGGCUAGGAUUGAGUUUGUGGUUUAACAUGGGCACAUUGCCAUCCUUGUGUUGUGUGUGAUGUUAGUGUAUGUGUGCGUACUUUUGCGAGUACGCACGCUGCUCUCUUCUUACAAUCUCUUUUUUAUAUUCUUCUGAACCUCUUUGUGUGCUUGGAAACAGGCAUCAAAAAACAAUCGAAAACUGCCAGCAAUGGAUCACUCGGUUCUC
rnacentral:misc_RNA from 1 species